UACGUAGGGAGCAAGCGUUGUCCGGAAUCAUUGGGCGUAAAGCGCGCGUAGGCGGCCCCGUAAGUCCGCUGUGAAAGUCAAAGGCUCAACCUUUGAAAGCCGGUGGAUACUGUGGGGCUAGAGUCCGGAAGAGGCGAGUGGAAUUCCCGGUGUAGCGGUGAAAUGCGCAGAUAUCAGGAGGAACACCGGUGGCGAAGGCGGUGAUCUGGGCCGGUACUGACGCUGAGGAGCGAAAGCGUGGGGAGCAACAGG
rnacentral:rRNA from 1 species